rnacentral:lncRNA from 1 species
CAGACUCUCCUUGGUUGGGCAGGUCUUGCUGCGGCUGCUGUCAGGAAUGGGGAUGAGGUUCCUGGGUCAAUAGUGUUGUGUACCUAGGAGGAUUAUGGCUGCCUUUGCUGAGUCAUGCGGGUUGUCAGGGAAGUGGGGGAAAGCCAGCAGUCACAGGCCUCACCCAGCUCCCACGCAAUCCAAAGGGCUGGUCUCACUCCCACAGUGCCUCCCCUAACAGCACCAAAUCUGUUUCCAGGCAGUGGGCAAGCAGGGCUGAGAAUUGCCCCAGACUACCCACCUCCCAGCUGCAAAGGAAAAGGGCUCAGUUCUUCCCCCACCUGUGGAGUCUGCAUGCUGGAUUCCCGUUCUCCCCAGAGUUCUGGCCAGGAGGCUUCUUGCCUGGUUCAAAUUGUUAUGAAGUUCAGCUGGAGACUUCCUUCUCCCUGUGGCAUUUUCCCCACACCUCUAGCUGCCCUCCUGAAGGAUCCUGGUGGUGCCAGGUCUAUGCACUGAAAAUAUGCCUGUGAAGAAAGCAAUAUUUCUGUCUCCAUGGACCUUACUAUCAAACUGGAAGAGACCAAAGAUUAAUAUACAAAUAGGUGAUAAUAGAAAGUCUGAUAUGGAUUGGUGCAAUGAAGAAAAAUAAGGCAUUUAGGCUCACCAUGAUGAGACUUGCUGUCUACCUUGAAUACAUGUUUUAUGUAGGUGACUAAAGUAGCACAGCGAUUAUAUACUAGGAAACUGAUACUAUCAGAAGAAUGAUUUGUUACACAAAAUGGAAGACGUUUUGUUCACAGAACUGUGGGCCCAACCUACUACACGAGUCCUUUCAAGAGAGGAAACGUUCCUGGCUGCAGCUAGAGAGAGAUGGCAGCGUGAGGAGGCUCUGACUUGCUGCAGCUGCCCUGAAGAUACGGGAAGGGUGUCACCGGCUAUGGGGUGCUGGAGGCCUCUGGAAGUGGAUUCUCUUCUAACAACUACAGAAAAGAAUGCUGUUGUGCUGACAUUUUGAUUUUAGCCCAGUGACAUCUGUGCUGGAUUUCUGACCUACAGUACUAUAAGGUUCUCCUGUAGAACUUCCCAGGCAGAAGAAAAGAUAAUUCUAAUGGUUCUGCUGUGGAGCAGAGAGUCACAGCUUGCAUCACAGUCCACGGAUCACCAAGAGGAACCUUACUGACUACUGGUGAGUCAAUGUUUUACAUCACAUGAAGACAAAAGAGGAUCACGGAUGUCAUUUUAGUUUGGGUUCUCACAAAAGCAGACCCUGAGAGGAGGACUUGGGUGACUCUACGAAGCAUAAAGCGAAGAAUGGGGAAAGUGAUUCAGGGAAGGGAAACGUUAAUGAAUAGAUUAUUGUGUUGAGCAGCUGGGGCUUAGUCUCAUCGUGGAUCUUCUGAAAAACCACGAGAACAUGGGGGGAUAAGGAUUGUUCUCCUAUGGUGUUAACUCUCCUGCAUUCUCGGUUGUGCCUGCUUUAAGGCUGAGGAAGUAUCUGUGGUGCCACAGAAAGUUCUUCAUUACAGAAUAAGAGGCUGGUGCUUGAGGUAGAACUAUCAGUUUGCUAGAAGCAUCCCAGCCAUCUGUGGACUUGGG